rnacentral:rRNA from 1 species
GAUGAACGCUGGCGGCGUGCCUAAUACAUGCAAGUCGAGCGAACGGACGAGAAGCUUGCUUCUCUGAUGUUAGCGGCGGACGGGUGAGUAACACGUGGAUAACCUACCUAUAAGACUGGGAUAACUUCGGGAAACCGGAUCUAAUACCGGAUGAUAUUUUGAACCGCAUGGUUCAAAAGUGAAAGACGGUCUUGCUGUCACUUAUAGAUGGAUCCGCGCUGCAUUAGCUAGUUGGUAAGGUAACGGCUUACCAAGGCAACGAUGCAUAGACGACGUGAGAGAGGGAUAGGCCACACGGGAACUGAGACACGGUCAAGACUACUACGGGAGGCAGCAGUAGGGAAUGUUCCGCAAUGGGCGAAAGCCUGACGGAGCAACGCCGAGUGAGUGAUGAAGGUGUUCGGAGCGUAAAACUCUGUUAUUAGGGAAGAACAGAUGUGUAAGUAACUGUGCAGAUCUUGACGGUACCUAAUCAGAAAGCCACGGCUAACUACGUG